AUGAACGCUAGCUACAGGCUUAACACAUGCAAGUCGAGGGGCAGCAUGAACUUAGCUUGCUAAGUUUGAUGGCGACCGGCGCACGGGUGAGUAACACGUAUCCAACCUGCCGAUGACUCGGGGAUAGCCUUUCGAAAGAAAGAUUAAUACCCGAUGGCAUAGUUCUUCCGCAUGGUAGAACUAUUAAAGAAUUUCGGUCAUCGAUGGGGAUGCGUUCCAUUAGGUUGUUGGCGGGGUAACGGCCCACCAAGCCUUCGAUGGAUAGGGGUUCUGAGAGGAAGGUCCCCCACAUUGGAACUGAGACACGGUCCAAACUCCUACGGGAGGCAGCAGUGAGGAAUAUUGGUCAAUGGACGAGAGUCUGAACCAGCCAAGUAGCGUGAAGGAUGACUGCCCUAUGGGUUGUAAACUUCUUUUAUACGGGAAUAAAGUGAGGCACGUGUGCCUUUUUGUAUGUACCGUAUGAAUAAGGAUCGGCUAACUCCGUGCCAGCAGCCGCGGUAAUACGGAGGAUCCGAGCGUUAUCCGGAUUUAUUGGGUUUAAAGGGAGCGUAGGCGGACGCUUAAGUCAGUUGUGAAAGUUUGCGGCUCAACCGUAAAAUUGCAGUUGAUACUGGGUGUCUUGAGUACAGUAGAGGCAGGCGGAAUUCGUGGUGUAGCGGUGAAAUGCUUAGAUAUCACGAAGAACUCCGAUUGCGAAGGCAGCUUGCUGGACUGUAACUGACGCUGAUGCUCGAAAGUGUGGGUAUCAAACAGGAUUAGAUACCCUGGUAGUCCACACAGUAAACGAUGAAUACUCGCUGUUUGCGAUAUACAGUAAGCGGCCAAGCGAAAGCGUUAAGUAUUCCACCUGGGGAGUACGCCGGCAACGGUGAAACUCAAAGGAAUUGACGGGGGCCCGCACAAGCGGUGGAUUAUGUGGUUUAAUUCGAAGCAACGCGAAGAACCUUACCAGGGCUUGACAUCCUACUAACGAGAUAGAGAUAUGUUAGGUGCCCUUCGGGGAAAGUAGAGACAGGUGGUGCAUGGUUGUCGUCAGCUCGUGUCGUGAGAUGUUGGGUUAAGUCCCGCAACGAGCGCAACCCUUGCUAUUAGUUGCUACGCAAGAGCACUCUAAUAGGACUGCCGUUGACAAAACGGAGGAAGGUGGGGACGACGUCAAAUCAUCAUGCCCCUUAUGACCUGGGCUACACACGUGCUACAAUGGCGUAAACAAAGGGAAGCAAAGCCGUGAGGCCGAGCAAAUCUCAAAAAUAACGUCUCAGUUCGGACUGUAGUCUGCAACCCGACUACACGAAGCUGGAAUCGCUAGUAAUCGCAGAUCAGAAUGCUGCGGUGAAUACGUUCCCGGGCCUUGUACACACCGCCCGUCACACCAUGGGAGUUGGAAAUGCCCGAAGUCAGUGACCCAACCGCAAGGAGGGAGCUGCCGAAGGCAGGUUCGAUAACUGGGGUG
rnacentral:rRNA from 1 species